UCCCCAGUGGUCUAAUGGUUAGGAUUUGGUAUUUUCACUGCCACGUCACGGGUUCAAUCUCUGGUCUGGGGAC
rnacentral:tRNA from 1 species